AUGGGGGUCAUGGGGAGCUUGUUGGCAAUACAGAACUUUGUCCACACCCACACCUACACAAUCCCAACCUGCCUUUUAGCAUUACCCGGAGGAGACAGGCGUUUAUAUCGGGGUUUAAGAAGAGCUAAUCUGGUCACACCUCCACUUCUCCUAUCCAGGAACUCCCAGCUCAUUUCCUACAAGUACAGUUUCUGCAGUAUUAGCGUUGGUUGUCAUUGUUCUCAAUCUUGCUCUUGUAUUAGCUGGGUUCCUGGAUCCAGCCAGAGAGCCACAGGAGGCCUGGAGAGGUCGGGGGACUCUCUCCUGCCAAGCGGGACCAGCCAGCGACAGGCCUGAUUUGGGCAGCAUUGGUGGUGAGCCUUGGCUGAGAGCCAGCAGUUCAGCCUUGUGACUGGGGCCGUGGGAGCCAUGAACCAGGCAGACAGCACAGCAAACGCGGUCCAUUGCGGAAAGAAUGUUUCACAGGACCCCAAAACAUCGACCCUAAAGGAAAGCGUGAAAAAAGUGAAUGUGUUGAAAUUUUUAAAAACAUGUUUUUCUGCCAAAAGACAGCAUUAACUAAAGUGGGGUUCACACAGACACUGGGACGUCAUGUUCAGAGCAGUCGUUAUGCAAUAGCCCAAGGGGGUGGACCCCGUGUGUACGGGAGGGUGGAUGGAUAAACAAGCGAGCUGCGAACACAAAGUGCAUCGACAACUCAGCCUUCGAGGAUGGAGCUGGGUGCGGAGUGACAAUGGGAGGCUCUUGCUCAACAGAAACAGUUGAGAGUUCUGUGGAUGGGUCGUGGUAAAGCCACAGGACAUGAAUGUACCUGUGUCACUGAACUGGACACUUAAAAAUGGGUCAAAUGGCAAAUUUCGUUGUAUUUUAGCAUAAUAUUUAGAAAAGGAAGGAGAUUCUGACAUUGCUACAACAUAGGGGAAACAUAGGGACAUUAUGCCGAGUGAAAAAUGCCAGUCGUAAAGGGUCAAGUCUCCUCACACCAGGUGCCCAGAGUCAGUGACGCCGUAGGGACAGGAGGCAGAGCACACUGCCAGGGCUGCGGGGACAGAGACAGGGAGCUAUGCCGUGAGCCAGCGUCUCAGCUCUGCAAGAUGAGCAAGUUCUAGAGAUGGAUCGCAGUGAUGGUCGGAACUGUAUUUAAUGCCACUGAAUUAUGCACAAAAGUGGCCAAAAUGGUACAUUUCAGGUAUGUAUUUUAUACUAUAAUAAAGAGCAUAAACUACAGACUAGAAGAAGAUACAUGUUAAGUUUUAUAUCUGUAUUAGUUUAUUCUUCCUGCCUGGAAACACCAGGGUUAUGGGUCAGGGGACAGACUGACUCUUCGCUCACAUAGCAGCAGUCUGACCACGAAUUCUCUGUGCCUCAGUUUCCCAAGGGCAGCAGGAGGAGACCAGGGGCAUCCUACAGGGACAUCCUGUCACCACACAGGCCGAUGCUGGGGCGCCUCUGCCUCCUUCCCGCUCUGGAGGCGGAAUGAGAGCCUUUGUCCUCUAAAGUAAACACAAGCCCACUCAGGAAGGGAGAGGAAGUCCCUGGCUUUUAUAAUCCUCUGGAAUGCAGGCAAAUGGCUCUUGAUUUAUCACCCUGAGAAAUGAGGAGGGCGUGGGACCAGUGAGAGAAAGGGGUUCUUCCCAUCUAUGUGCCAGGUCAAUAUCUGCUGAUUAGAAAGGUCCAGGAGAAACACAAGCAAAGCAAACACCAAGCAGGUCCAGAGGAUGGUCUUCCUAUCAGUCUGCAAACAAAUAUAAUAAAAAAAGGAUUAUGUAUGAUUACU
rnacentral:lncRNA from 1 species